rnacentral:rRNA from 1 species
GACGAACGCUGGCGGCGUGCCUAAUACAUGCAAGUAGAACGCACAGUUUAUACCGUAGCUUGCUACACCAUAGACUGUGAGUUGCGAACGGGUGAGUAACGCGUAGGUAACCUGCCUGGUAGCGGGGGAUAACUAUUGGAAACGAUAGCUAAUACCGCAUAAUAUUAAUUAUUGCAUGAUAAAUAAUUGAAAGGUGCAAUUGCACCACUACCAGAUGGACCUGCGUUGUAUUAGCUAGUAGGUGAGGUAACGGCUCACCUAGGCGACGAUACAUAGCCGACCUGAGAGGGUGAUCGGCCACACUGGGACUGAGACACGGCCCAGACUCCUACGGGAGGCAGCAGUAGGGAAUCUUCGGCAAUGGACGAAAGUCUGACCGAGCAACGCCGCGUGAGUGAAGAAGGUUUUCGGAUCGUAAAGCUCUGUUGUAAGAGAAGAACGGGUGUGAGAGUGGAAAGUUCACACUGUGACGGUAUCUUACCAGAAAGGGACGGCUAACUACGUG